rnacentral:rRNA from 1 species
CAGUCGCCACGGUAAUACGAGGGGGGCAAGCGUUGUUCGGAAUUAUUGGGCGUAAAGGGUGCGUAGGCGGUUCAGCAAGUCUCGUGUGAAAUCUUCGGGCUCAACCCGAAGUCUGCACGGGAAACUACUGGGCUUGAGUAAUGGAGAGGUGAGUGGAAUUUCCGGUGUAGCGGUGAAAUGCGUAGAUAUCGGAAGGAACACCUGUGGCGAAAGCGGCUCACUGGACAUUUACUGACGCUGAUGCACGAAAGCUAGGGGAGCAAACAGGAUUAGAUACCCCAGUAGUCCCUGUCUCUUAUAC